rnacentral:rRNA from 1 species
GAUGAACGCUGGCGGCGUGCCUAAUACAUGCAAGUCGAGCGAACGGACGAGAAGCUUGCUUCUCUGAUGUUAGCGGCGGACGGGUGUGUAACACGUGGAUAACCUACCUAUAAGACUGGGAUAACUUCGGGAAACCGGCUCUAAUCCCGUAUAAUAUUUUGCACCGCAUGGUUCAAUAGUGAAAGACGGUCUUUCUGUCACUUCUCGCUGGAUCCGCGCUGCAUUAGCUAGUUGUUACUGUAACGGCUUACCAAGGCAACGAUGCAUAGCCGACGUGAGAGAGUGAUAGGCCACACUGGAGCGGAGACACGGUCCAGACGACUGAGAGAGGCAGCAGAAGCGAAUGUGCCGCAAUAGGCGAAAGCAUGACGGAGCAACGCCACGUGAGUGAUAGAGGUCUUCGGAGCGGAAAAAUCUGUUAUUAGGGAAGAACAGAUGUGUAAGUAACUGUACACAGCUUGACGGUAACGAAUCAGAAAGCCACGGCUAACUACGUG